AUUGUGAAUUGUGCAUGCAAGGGAUCUGGGUUGCGUGCUCCUUAUGAGAAUCUAAUGCCUGAUGAGCGGUCACUGUCUCCCGUCAGCCCCAGAUGGGACCAUGUAGUUGCAGGAAAAAAGCUCAGGGCUCCCAUUUAUUCUACAUUAUGGUAAGUUGUAUAAUUAUUUCAUAAUAUAUUGCAGUGAAAUAAUAACAGAAAUAAAGCACGGAAUAAAUGUAAUGGGCUUGAACCAUCUCCACAUCAUGCUUUCUCCUUCUCCUGGGUCCGUGGAAUAGUUGUCUUCAAGAAAAGUGUCCUGCGGGUUGCUUCUAAAUGGAGAGCAUUUUGGCAAAUCGUGUCAAACCAAGCAGAAAGAAGGGCAAGGAUGCUUGUCAACCAAGCAGCAAGAAGGGUGAGGAGCCCGGUUUCCUGACCUCACCCUCGGAGGACAUGGCCAGGACUCCACAAAGCCCUGCAGGGGCGGCUUGGGAACACAUCCACCAUCCUGUUGAGUAAGCAGCCACCAACCCAGGAAGCAGCAGAGGGGGGCACACUGGCAGAGCCCGCAUGCUGCAGAGCAGGGCCAGCAGAUCUGCACUCAGCCUCAGCCCCAGGGGAGCUGCAAGACAGACUGAGACCCUCAUAGGUUUGGCUCUGUGUCCCCACCAAAUCUCAUCUGGAAUUGUAAUCCUCCUGUGUCAAGGGAGGAAGCUGGUGGGAGGGGAUUGGAUUUGGGGACAGU